UGGGGAAUAUUGCACAAUGGGCGAAAGCCUGAUGCAGCGACGCCGCGUGAGGGAUGACGGCCUUCGGGUUGUAAACCUCUUUCAGUAGGGACGAAGCGCAAGUGACGGUACCUGCAGAAGAAGCACCGGCUAACUACGUGCCAGCAGCCGCGGUAAUACGUAGGGUGCGAGCGUUGUCCGGAAUUACUGGGCGUAAAGAGCUCGUAGGCGGUUUGUCACGUCGUCUGUGAAAUCCUAGGGCUUAACCCUGGACGUGCAGGCGAUACGGGCUGACUUGAGUACUACAGGGGAGACUGGAAUUUCUGGUGUAGCGGUGGAAUGCACAGAUAUCAGGAUGAACACCGAUGGCGAAGGCAGGUCUCUGGGUAGUAACUGACGCUGAGGAGCGAAAGCAUGGGUAGCGAACAGG
rnacentral:rRNA from 1 species